GGCAGUGGGUGUAUGUGCCUUGUUCCUUGAGGGCUUGAUGCCAUAUUGACUUUAUGCAUAAAUCUAAGUCAUUUCAUGCCUACAUGAGUCAAGUUCUUGUUGGUUUCCUUGGCAGAUUAAGAUUUCUAGGGUGAAAACGCUCGCACGGGCCCAUGAACCUUAAUUUAGGCACACUUGGGUGUGUGAGUCCCGAUGCCAAAUGGUUUUUUUUUUUUUAUGUUUUUGAGUCCUCUAGAAGUGUCAUGGGGCCCUCAAGAAGGAUGUCUUAACUCAUUUGACAUUUAUAAGUCUUGGUCAAAGUCAUAAGGUUGACUUUUUUGAAUUUUUGAAAAUCUUGUAUAACAUUCGCCCCCCCAAAAGUGUUUGUCAAAAACUUUUGGGAAAAACUUUUGUUAUUGUACCCUUCUUGUCUUGAAAAUAAUAAGCAUGUCGCCUUUUGCUUAUUUUGUUGUCUCUUAGAGUACUCGGUUGAGACUGUCGUCAUUGAGAGUCAGUUCUAUUUUCUAAGCGACUUAUCUCGAAAUUUGUGGAAUUUAAACUUUAUUACGUGAAAUAAAUUUAAUUUGUCUAAGGAAAAUAAAUUUCCAUUUUUUCACAUAAUUAAAUGUUAAAAUCAUAAAUUUUACCAACACAAAUAACAAGUGUCACAAGGAGAUGAGUACCAAUGGCACCUACAAUAAAUAACAUGUGCCAAAUAGGCCAAGGGCAUUUUUGGAAACCCUUGGCCAAAUGAAAGGCAUAGCCAUAAGUCUUAUUUUCUUUAUAAAUGCAAUCCCCUCCCACUUUUCAAAACACUUCAUCACUUUUUUAAACUUUCACUCACUAACACUCAAGAACACCAUCCCACCAUUCAAUUCUCAAAGGGACGGCUAGGGAUUCUCAAGCACUAGCAAAGAUAAAAAAAAAUUCCCUUUCACUUUUUUUUAUUAUUUUUUCGUUUUAUCUUCUCAUCCACUCAUUAACUUUAAAAAUUACAAAACCCCUAGAAAUCCACAUUGUGGCCAUGGCUCUUGCUUGGUGAAAGGAAAAAGGGCUUUUCAAAAUUUCUUCAAGGUUUUUUGGAAAUUCAAGCAAUUUUUGAGGUAAUUUUUAAUUUGUAAUUGGUUUUGGCAUUAAUUACAUGGAUGAAAUGAUUGUGGAUAUAGAAAUUAGGAUUGAAUUUGUGUUUUCUUGAAUAUGUUUAGAUAUAUGUUGUGGGAAUAAUGUUUGGAUAGGUUUUGAAUUUAUUGUGACAUUGGUGAUGAAAAUUGACUAAUUGGGAGUUGAAGUAGCAAAUUUGGGCAAGAAGUGCAAACUUUUGGUAUAAGUUUGGACUAUGGAAAAUAGGUCCCACCAAGCGUUUGAUGAAAUUCCCAAGUGAGAAAAAUAUGUGUUUUUUGUCACUUUGGGUGCUCGGAUGCAUGUGAUUUUCACAAAUACUUUAUUAGAUUACUUGUGUCGUUGAAUUGUCUUUGUCUCGAUCUGGCAUGUCCCCAUGUGGGAGUUCUUGUGGCCGAGAGCUUCAAAUGAUUAAGUCUCUUUAUCAUUGCUUUAAACACAUAGUCCCUCGUGAUGGACCAUAGCCACGUCAUCAUUAGUGCUAAUGGUCAUCUCCAUAGGCGCCCCAUUGUACCACGUAAGUGGAGGUUGCAUGUUGUCCGAAAUAAGGUCACAUCGGUGACUUUUUCUAUUUUUUUAUGACUUUAGGACUACACAUGGGCUCCACCAAAUACAAUUAAGAUACUUUUCUUUUUUAUAUAUAUAUAUAUAUAUAGGCCACGUCACUUUUCUCAAGAGAAAUAAGUAACCCCUUGCCAUAAUUUCUUCCUCAGGUUCUAACUUCCUUUUUGUUUUUGUUAAUUUUUCAAGAACAAAAAGAGAGUUGUGGGAUCCAAAACUAUAUCAUCAUGUAACAAUCUGGCGAAUAUAGAGGAAUCUACUCAUUCACCCUCUACUAGUACCUGUAAACCCCCUCCGCGGUCUAGGACCAAAUCUGUGGGGGUGUAUUUCGAGGCGAGCUGUAUCACUUCUUCUUUCGGAAGCAUGUUCCAAGUUAGUGAUUGCCUUAGAGUUCACGAGCUCAACCUCGGUGUUGGACGACUAAGAAGAGUCUUGACUCCCACCGAGUGCAGCUAUUCUCCUCCUCAUGAGAGCAUGUACGCGUGGGGCACUUCCUUGCUUAUGGCGAGGGGUGCACUCACAUUAGCCUCUGAUUAUUGGGACAUCCAUGGAGCCUUGGGUCUUACUCCCUUCUAGCUAUCCUCUAAUAGCUAUCGGAUCUUGGCUGGGCUUAAGUCCCUCUAUCAUAUUAGAUCUUGGAGACCCGACACCUGCGGAGGUGUUGUACAUGUACUAGCCGAGGGCCAAUCCUUUUGGGAAGGGGAAACAUAGCGAUAGAUUCUAUUAUCUGAAUUGUGUGACCACUCCAAUAAUUCUUCAAGGUCUCCUCGAUAAACCACCUGAUAAGAAAAAUGAGUUCUUCUGGGUAUGGGGCCAAUCUGACAGGGGCAACCAUGACUUCAAGCGCACAGGUACAAAUAUUGCACUUUGGCUCCAUUUAAUGAUUGUUAUUCAUUAUAUAUAUAUUUUUUUUCGAAAGUGUUGACUUGCAUUUUCGUCUUUCUAGGGGCCAUUCACAUCCAACCAUUGGACUGGUUGAAUGAGAGGGUGAGUCUUCUCCAAAGUGUUGACAUGCGCAAGCGAAACCUUCGCUUUCUUCUUCAUGACGAACACCUCAGGCCGUGCGGUCCAUUAAAAGAUAUGGGGAAGAUUGUGGAUGUUUUCCUUGAGAAAGUUGUCAAUUAAGAAGGUUUUCCUGACUCGACUCUCCCUUCUCAAAAAUAGUGAGCUAAAUUGGUGUUGACUAUGACAGCCCCGUCCAAAAUUUCUACCCCGAACAUAAUGGGUAUGAGACCAGUAAUCCGGGGGGUAAAGUGUGUGAAUUUUACCUUAGGCUUUUAAGUAGAGCUGGGUGGUUCCCCUUCAUACCCAUGAUGAGUAUGAAUAUUCAUUGCCUAUGUAUAAGGAAGUAGAUGGGAAAGUCCAUAGAUGGGACCAUUGGUUGAUGAGUGGGGAACUGCUUUAUGUGAGUAGCCCCACCUUGAAAGUACUGUACGCAUCGGGGUUGGAUCAAUAUGGCUCCAACCUUAUGUCUGAAAAAGAUAAUACUUUAGUUCUCCCCAUGGAGAGAGUGCAUAUAGUUUUAGGACAAGGUAUUUUCUUUAUUUCCUUGCUUGACUUUCUUGACUUGACUUGGAUAUAUGCUUGUGGUUGCACUUUGUCUUUAUGUUGUUUCCCAUAAUUAUGUCUUGCAGUAUACUUGUUGCGUAAUAAUUCUUGUGAUGGCUGACAUGUAUAUUUCCCUUUGAUUUUUUAGGUACCAUGGACGUUUUAGCAGCCUCUGUCAAAUAAGCAUCUAAAAGGCAAAGGGUGAACAAAAAGGCCAUGCCUCCUCCUCAAGCCAACGAGACUCCCUUAGCGGCAGCCGCCCCAACUCAAGGAGUCCCACUAGGUGCUACCGUUGCACCUUCACAAGAGGUUCCCACAUCCACAGGCUUCUCUCCUAUGGUUGCUUCACCUUCGGGCUUGGCUCUGUCCAGCUUGCCACCUUUGACGGCUGUAGUAGCACUACCUGCGAUGCCAUCUGUUUUUCUAGUGGCCCCUCCUUUUGGUCAACCUCGGCACCCAGUCAUGGGGCCGCCAUCUUGAUUUGCUUCUGAGCAAUUUUUUUUCAAUCAGUUGGCCCAGGGACUUGCAUUCCAGGGAGAGGCUUCUGAUCCUAUAUUGCCCAAAGCAAGCAAGUUCUGAAAAGUAUUAGCUCGAGAAUUUCAUCUUUACACACCUCAACUAGGGGGGCUUUCGACAGUGAUCUGGUCCCAAUAAAUAAUUUGGCGCAACGACGCCUCGACUCCCUUGCUAUGUUCCUCUUUGAUGACUUCGGCCUUUACCAGAGGACCAAUGCCUCCCAUAACAUAUAUCCAAAGAAGUGUAAGGACCUCGAGAAACGCAAUGUGGAAGCCACUUUGACAAUUAAGGAGCUUGAGGAGAAGCUUGCUUCUUUUGAGAGGAAGUUGGAGGAAGCAAAUGCCAAAUAAAAAGUUGUUGAGGAAGAGGCCAAAACCAAGAAUCAUGAGCAUGGUUCGUUGAAUGCCAAGUUUGUUAAAUUGGAGGCUGAGUCGAAGGUUAUGACUGACAACCACACCGCAACCAUGGAUAAGCUGGAGUCGGAGAAUGUAAGGACCAUUGAGCAGAUAAAAAUAUAUCACAAGGCAGAAGUUGCUCGUAUUGAAGAGCUUGCCAAGGAGAACAUUUUUGGGAUAUCUUACUUGUGUUGGUGCCGAAAAUAGGACAUGGACUUCAGCUUCAUGGGCGAGAUUUUGGGUGAUUUUCAAGAGCAUUGUCGCAAGGCCCAAGCGAUCGCAACCACCAUCGAGGUCACUGCAGCGGAAGCCAAGGAGAAAGGAGAAGAGGUCACUUCUGAACCAGCCCCAGAGUCUUGAGGAGAGGAGUUACACAAGGGUGCUGGCAUGUUGGCGGUGCUCUCCCUUGUGGUGGCGUUCCAUGUGAGAGCUGCCAUGUGUUAGUGCUCUCCAUGAUUGACUUUAGGCUUUUUAUUAGUUUUACAGUACUCCAUGCGAGAGCUGCCUUGUGGCAAUGCUCUCCAUGGACUAAUUUUAUGCACUUUCUUAUUUGUAUGAGAACAUAUUUGUGUUUAUGUCUCCUUGUGCCACAUACAUUUAUUUUGGUUAUGUAUUGAUAUUUGGGUCCAUAUGGAUGGGUUCACUCA